CCGAUUGGCGGCCUCGACCCCGAAUUGACUGGGGACCCUGAGUCGAAGUCCCCGGUCGAUUCGGGGUCGAGGCCGCCAAUCGG
rnacentral:pre_miRNA from 1 species